rnacentral:rRNA from 1 species
UACAGAGGUCUCAAGCGCUGUUCGGAUUCAUUGGGCGUAAAGGGUGCGUAGGCGGCGCGGUAAGUCGGGUGUGAAAUCUCGGAGCUUAACUCCGAAACUGCAUUCGAUACUGCCGUGCUUGAGGACUGGAGAGGAGGCUGGAAUUUACGGUGUAGCGGUGAAAUGCGUAGAUAUCGUAAGGAAGACCAGUGGCGAAGGCGGGUCUCUGGACAGUUCCUGACGCUGAGGCACGAAGGUCAGGGGAGCAAACGGG